rnacentral:tRNA from 1 species
AGAUUAGUUAUAAAUUAUUAUUUACACUAAUAAAAAGUUUAUUAAAUUAAACCUAAUCUA